rnacentral:rRNA from 1 species
UACGAAGGGGGCUAGCGUUGUUCGGAUUUACUGGGCGUAAAGCGCGUGUAGGCGGGUCGUUAAGUUGGGGGUGAAAUCCCGAGGCUCAACCUCGGAACUGCCUUCAAAACUGGCGACCUGGACUCAAGUAGAGGCAAGUGGAAUUGCGAGUGUAGAGGUGAAAUUCGUAGAUAUUCGCAGGAACACCAGUGGCGAAGGCGACUUGCUGGACUUGUAGUGACGCUGAGACGCGAAAGCGUGGGGGGCAAACAGG